rnacentral:rRNA from 1 species
CCCUUAGAUGUUCUGGGCCGCACGCGCGCUACACUGAUUCAUGCAACAAGUUUUGUCCUUGGCUGAUAGGCCUGGGUAAUCUUUGAACAUCGAUCGUGAUCGGGAUAGAUUCUUGUAAUUUUUGAUCUUAAACGAGGAAUUCCUAGUAAACGCAAGUCAUCAGCUUGCAUUGAUUACGUCCCUGCCCUUUGUACACACCGCCCGUCGCACCUACCGAUUGAAUGGUCCGGUGAAAUCUCCGGACUGGCGUGAGUCGGAGCAAUCUGACAAACGCCGGAAAGUUGAUUAAACCUUACCAUUUAGAGGAAGGUGAAGUCGUAACA